ensembl:lncRNA
CAGAACACACGGACACUGAUGCAGAGCUGAGAGAAAGAGCACAGGAACUACACACACUCAGGAGAGAUAGACUGCAGGCUAUGUUAGAGAUUCAGAGGCUUGAAGCUGAAGUAGAGAAUCACAACACAAGGAACAAUGAGAAGCUGAAGAAGGCACUAAAUGAUGCAUCUGCAAAGUCAGGUGACCUCUCACGAGCCAAUCAGGAGCUUCGAGAGAAGGUGUCUGAGCUGGAAAAGUUGGUGUCCAAUCAGAAGUCUCGACUGAGUCAGUAUCUGGACAACAGAACAGCUCUGAAACACUCUCUGAGAAUCAAGCACCUGGAAGAGAGUUUGAAACGGCUCCAGGAUGAGGCAGAAGUGAGACUCAGGGAAGUUUAUCUGGAGUCACAGCAGAUCACAGAGAACAUGGACGAGGACCACAGAGGGCUCUGCUCUAAAUCUGAGAGCUUUAAUGGCCAGGCUGAGCCACAGAAACUCACAGAGCUUUCGCAAGAGGGGAGAAGACAGCACAUGGUCCACUUCAGCUCAGGAGAUUGUCUUUUGGGUUUUCUUUCGGGAUCGCCGGUGACCCGCUGUGUGGAAACGCACUGAGCCAUGCGUCAGUUGAAGGGCAAGCCGAAGAAGGAGUCAUGGAAGGACAAAAAGGAGCGCAAACAGGCCAUGCAGGAGGCGCGGGNACUUAAAAAUCUAAAAAUGCCCAAUUUGUCACACUGCAGGAUCAAUUAACAGAAAAGUGCAUUAGAAGUAUUAUUAUUAUUUAUUAAUAAUAUAUGCAUAUUAAAAUGUAUGAAUAGAGUAUACAUAUUUUUAAUAUACACUCCUGUGUAUUCACUCCCAUCUUAUCUAAAUAUAAUAACUUGCUGUGCCUCUGAAACAACUUUUCCACUGACUUCAAAUCCAGUCAAAUCCUAAUGGAUGAAAUCCAAAUCUUUUAAUAAUUCAAGCUGUAUUAAUAAUCAUUAUGCAUUUAUAAUUGAUAAGACAUUCUUAAAGAUUAAUUUGUCACACUGCAGGAUCGUUUAAAAGAUACAAAAAAGCAAAGGGAUUAAAAACCUAAAGUCAAAUAAAAAUUGUAUCAGUUAUUAAUAAUAUAUAUAUAUUAUAAUGUAUUAUUUAAUAUACAUUCCUGGUAAUAUUGUGUAGAAUUUAUCUGUACAUUAUUAUAAAAACAAUUAAUUCUAUGGACUUAAAAGCGUUAAAAGUACAUCGUUUCAACUUAAAUGUUUAUGUGCUUCAAUAGAAAAUAAUUAAAACAUUUAGCAUCACAAAAUUGUAUAUGCUUUCACAGGAGAUUGUCUUUUGGGUUUUCUUUCGGGAUCGCCGGUGACCCGCUGUGUGGAAACGCACUGAGCCAUGCGUCAGUUGAAGGGCAAGCCGAAGAAGGAGUCAUGGAAGGACAAAAAGGAGCGCAAACAGGCCAUGCAGGAGGCGCGGGAGCAGGUGACAACCAUCGUUCUACCGACGCUCAUCUUGCUCGUGCUGCUCAUCGUCCUCCUCGUCUACGUGGCGACGAGACCCGGAGCCAUCGAGUAAAAAGACUCCAAAUAGCCAAAUCUCCUCUGCCCUUGUCUUUCUCUUUCAUUUCCCCUUGUUCCUUCACAAUGCAGAGUUCAGUGGAUGAAUUGGACACAGUCAUAAAGAUGAAUGGAUUGAUAAAGGAGUGCUUUUCUGUGUCAUGUUUGGAGUAUGUUGAAGGAGUCUUCCAUUUCGGCUUCUGACAGAGCACCUCUCCCAGCCACCAGCAUUCGCGUCUGUGGCAGCCAUGUUGGCUCCAAAUGCAUUUACAGGGUUCUAGUUUCAUGCCAAAGCACCUGAGACACAGCAGACUCAGACUGACCCAGGAACCGGGCCAGAUCUGAUGCCUCUGUGCUCAAAGUCAAUACAAAUGAGAAGUGACUGUAGUAUUGCACAUGUUUGUAGCAUGCAAAUGCACACACACACACAGAUCCACAAAUGAACAUUGAUGGGUGUCACAUGAAACCAUUUAUGACAGAAUUGUAUGUUACCCAGAAUGUAUACUUCUUAUUGCUCAUUACCGAAUCCCUUAACAAGCAGUUCCUGAUGUUUUUGGUUAAUGUGUGUGUGUGUGUGUGUAAGCAUAUGCACAAUGAAGUGCAUGUUUCUGUCACAUCUGUGAUAUACAAUCAAAGCAGCAAACGUACUCUUAUUUUAAAAUGUAUUCCAGCAGGACUUGGAUCUAAAAAUGUGCCUUAAUGUUUAAUGACAUAACAGCAUUUAAAGUAUUAAUAAAGAAAUAGAAAGCCAUGCUGACUGCUUUAAGGAUUGUUUUAAUAAGACUGUGUUUUGAUCUUUCAAGUUUUUCCUCCCAUCUAUCUCUUACAAAAGUAUUUCAUUCUUUUGGGAACUUUGCUUUUGCUGACAAAACGUUUUCUCGCAAAAAUAAUCGCAUCUCCUUAAGAAACUUAACGUGCACAAGAACUGAAAUAUAGUUUUUCUGCAAAAGCUUUGUGACGCAUGCAUUGAAAAACAGUUUUAUCCUCCCGUGUCCUCUCACAAAAGUAUUUUUAUUUCCCUGAAGAACUUUGCAUUCGCUUACACAAGCAUUCAAAUAUAGUUUUUCAGCACAAACGUUUUAUGAGAGCAUGCACUGACUGAAAUAUCAUUUUCCUCCCAUCUCUCAUGCAAAAAGUAUUUUGUUUCCCUGAGAAAUUAUGCAUAAGCUUGCAAAACGUUUUCCGCUCUCGUUCACAAAAGUAAUGCAUUGUCUCGUAAAACCUUGCGUUUGCUCACAAAAGCAUUGAAUUAUAUAUUUUUUUCUCCCACUUCAUAUUAGCAAGAGGACUCAGUUACUUUGUGGAACACAUAAUGUUUGCGAACCAAGAAAACCAAACUAGUUUCAAUAUCUUUUUGAUACACUAGACAAACUACACACUUUCUCUGCCUGCCAGAAG